UACAGAGGGUGCGAGCGUUGUCCGGAAUCACUGGGCGUAAAGGGCGCGUAGGCGGCUUGAUAAGCGUGCGGUGAAAGCCCGGGGCUCAACCCCGGGUCGGCCGUGCGAACUGUCGAGCUGGAGCACUGUAGAGGCAGGUGGAAUUCCGGGUGUAGCGGUGGAAUGCGUAGAGAUCCGGAAGAACACCGGUGGCGAAGGCGGUUAGCUGGGCAGUUGCUGACACUGAGGCGCGACAGCGUGGGGAGCAAACAGG
rnacentral:rRNA from 1 species